UACGGAGGGUGCAAGCGUUAUCCGGAUUCACUGGGUUUAAAGGGUGCGUAGGAGGGCAGGUAAGUCAGUGGUGAAAUCCCCGAGCUUAACUUGGGAACUGCCGUUGAUACUAUCUGUCUUGAAUAUUGUGGAGGUGAGCGGAAUAUGUCAUGUAGCGGUGAAAUGCUUAGAUAUGACAUAGAACACCAAUUGCGUAGGCAGCUUACUACACGAUCAUUGACGCUGAGGCACGAAAGCGUGGGGAGCAAACAGG
rnacentral:rRNA from 1 species